rnacentral:miRNA from 15 species
AAUCUGUUCAUUCUCCGACACA